GAAUUCCAGACAGUGGAGAAGUUCAGGGACAGUCGUGUGUACAAGGUGUUGUGGGGGAUCCCCCCUCAAGGGCACCAGCCUUGCCUGGGGAUGAGGGUAAUGCCUCGAACAGCAUGAGAAACCGCUAAGCUUUACUCUCUACCAAGCCUGAUUUUUGGAGAUGCUCCAAGGCGAAGUAUCCAUUUUUCUCACGCGAAGCAUAACAUUGCUCCUGUUACAACAUCUCCUCCUGUGAUGUGCUUGUUUCUGCUUGUGCAAGAAGCCCUAACAUCCUUGGGCAAGGGCAGCUCUGGAUAUGGCCCCUCUGCAGCCCCAGCAGACGAGGGCUCCGUCCCACAUAUUUCUCAGUAAGAUCCUCUUUUCUAUCCUCCGAGAAGCAGCGGAGGUCCUCAGCUAGCAAAAGACGAAGGACUGGAAGCAUUAAACAUUCAGGUGCCCCAUGACCCGCUGUGUGUUUCACUCACAAUGGCGGCUCCGUGCCAACACCGCGAGCAGACGGCGAGUCCCUACCUGCGACACAUGCCAUUCCUGCCCGGAUCCAAAUUCCCACCGGAGUCUGGCAAAGAGGAUUGAAAGGACGACCGAAGGAAGCGGCAGAGCCCUUUCCGGAGGCUCCACAAUUCAGGGCCUUUCAGCCAAAGGCCCAGCUCACUCAUCCCUUCCCAUGUCGGUGGGCCUCACUGGUGGAAGACCACUGUCGCUGAGGGCUGCAUGGGCCCUGGACUCAGAACCUUUCCCCACUCACGAUGAUGGGGCUGCGGGACCACACAAGGGGCUACCGUGCCCCCUAAAGCGCCACCCUCUGGGUAAUGACAGCAAUGGCUGUGGCCGCUUAGGAAAGUCCCUUGCAUGCCUGGCUUUUGGCCCUGUGGUUACCAUGAAGAGGCUAGAAUGGAGUCUCCGGGGUCCCCACUGGGGCCGAACCAUUGUCAAAGUCAAAGCCAAUUUUCAAAUAGAGUCAGCCCUCAACUAUUCAUAGACUAAACAGGUUUAAUCUGUACCUCCGCUUUCUCCUCGUCCUUCUUUUUGCCAGCAAUGUUUUCGCUCUUCUCCGUGAUAUGCCCACCGGCACAGGAAGCGGUGGAGGCCUUCGGAUUAGUCAGCACCCAGACCCAUUAGCGAUCCCAGUAAAGGGCUUAAGCAGCAGUUUGGGCAGAAUAUGGAUUUUGAAUAACCUUGCUGAGCUCAUCCCCGCUAAUCAUGGAGAAGAGACCAUGCCUUGAGUGCUUUGAGCCCUUCUGCUAAGUCUUGCUGGGAGAAGAAAUAGAAGGACUGAUCUCCACCCCCAGGGAGUGGGGUCCCAGGCUGAGGCUGGUCAGGAUGAGAGGGCAGGCCAUUCCCCAACCCCGCGCUGUCUCGCCUGGUAGACCCACGAUGCCAGUGUGCACGUACCCAGAACCUUCCAAGACCUGCCUCUUGUGGCAGACGGAGAAAAUGACUUUUGAAGUAAAUGAAGCACCCAGAGGUUUCCUCUCUCGAGUGGCUGUGGUUUAUAUUCCCCAACCAAAUAAGUCAGCAAAUAAAAUAUGGAAAGUGGUUUCAAAAAGUUGAAAUCACCUGAACUCACUUCCUGUAGAAGUUGUCAUGUCUUUCCUAGCAGACAAGAAGACU